rnacentral:rRNA from 1 species
AACGAACGCUGGCGGCAGGCUUAACACAUGCAAGUCGAACGCCCCGCAAGGGAGUGGCAGACGGGUGAGUAACGCGUGGGAAUCUACCCCAUCUCUACGGAAUAACUCAGGGAAACUUGUGCUAAUACCGUAUACGCCCUUUGGGGAAAGAUUUAUCGGAGAUGGAUGAGCCCGCGUUGGAUUAGCUAGUUGGUGGGUAAAGGCCUACCAAGGCGACGAUCCAUAGCUGGUCUGAGAGGAUGAUCAGCCACACUGGGACUGAGACACGGCCCAGACUCCUACGGGAGGCAGCAGUGGGGAAUAUUGGACAAUGGGCGCAAGCCUGAUCCAGCCAUGCCGCGUGAGUGAUGAAGG